rnacentral:lncRNA from 1 species
CAAGCAUCUCCUUCUUGACGCCAGUGGAAAUGCCUUAAGGUGGAGGAAAGGACUUAAGUCACAAGUACAUGAGCACUUGAUUUCUAUAUAGAAUAUUUAAUUCAGCCAGCUGAAUUCUCUAGGCCAUUAAUGACUUCUGUUGGUCCUUGCUGUCUCCUUGAGACCUGUGAUAGCGAAAUAGUUCAUUAGAAUUUUCUGCUUGAAAAUUAAGUAGUUUCCUUGCUAGCUUUGGACAGCUGAAAAAUCGGGUGGAAUCUAUGGAAAAAAGAUUAGGCAAGUUGAUUUAUUACUGAUUUUGCAGGACUGGAUAGACAGUUAAAUCAGUGCUUCUCCAAGUGAUCCAUGGGCCACCUGCUGAUAAAUCACCUGGCCCACUAUUUUUAAAAAGUGAUUCAGGGCCCCUAUAUCAGACUUCUGAACCAGAAUCUCUGGAUGAUCCCAGGAAUUGGCAGCAUUUGUGGAUUUGGAAAUGAUUCUUAGGCACACUGAAGUUUCAAAACAGUCAUUUAAAGUGUGCCUAUUACCUAUAGCUGUCAAACUCCAGGUUAAACAUUUUCUUCCUCUUGAACCUGGAAACUUUUUAAAGCUGUCAUGAUAAUUUGGCUUCAUUCUGAGGUGUAAGCUCUUAAGAUCUAAAUUCCAUCUAAAUUAGUUAUUUUAGAUCUGAUCACUGCUGUUACUGCACUCUUGUCUUCAUCUAGAUUUAGGAUUAGACUGGUUAAGCUGAAUUGUUAAUGUUCUUUUACAACUUGUGGCCUAUAUGUUUGUAUUCAUAAUAACUUUGUAUUAGAAAACCAGAAUUUAGCCUUUUAAAGUGGAGAAUUUAGUGGGAGUAAAUAUAGUAGUAAUCCCUAUUUUUAGUCUAAUUCUGACUCAUUUUUCCUUCCUUCCUCCUUAUCCUGUCUUUGUGCACCCUGCUUCUCAAUAUCCAGAAAAAAAUCAGUAAUUAAACACACAGGUAUAUGGUGUAGAGGAUUUCAGUCAGUGACCAUGGUGGGUAAACAGUUUAAGGAAAAACUAAGAAACUAUUGUAUUCAUAUUUGACUUGUAACCUCUCUUUUCCCCAAACUUGUCUAGUGUUGGUAUUUAUGUCUUAGUUUACAAGCCAAGAAUGUUUUUUACAUUUUUAAAUGGUUACAUAAGUACCUAUGUAAUAUCCUUAAUUUUUGCCUCUUGACUUACAAAGCCUAAAAUAUUUCCUGUUUGGUCCUUUAUCCACCUCUGUCUUAGAUGAAUAUACUUUUGUGUUUAUCCUAAAUAAAAUAUAUACCUAAAAUAUAAUCUAAGAAAAAUGUUUAUAAGUAGUUUU